GAAAGAAUCCUUGGCACCCAGGUAAAUCUGCAGUCACCUCCCAAUAGCCGUUCCACUUUUCAACUCUCACAGGAAGUUUCUUGUUCUUCUUCGUGAAACGGAUCCGCUCACCUGAGCGCACGAAGGUAACGAAAUCUUUAAAAGUCAUGAGUCUAGUGCA